rnacentral:rRNA from 1 species
GUAGCGUAGUCACUUGUCUUUUAAAUGAAGACCCGUAUGAAAGGCUUAACGAGGGCUUAACUGUCUCUUCUUUCUAGUCAAUGAAACUGAUCUCCCCGUGCAGACGCGGGGAUAAGAACAUAAGACGAGAAGACCCUAUGGAGCUUUAGACACUAAAGCAGACUAUUUUUAAUAACCCUAACCAAGCAAUAAAUCUAAUAAAAACCUGCUACUGUCUUAGGUUGGGGCGACCCUGGGGAAACACAAAACCCCCAUGUGGAAGGGGGAACCUACUCUUCUACCCCUAAAAACCCGAAAUACAAUUCUAAUUAACAGAAUAUCUGACCAACUGAUCCGGCUUAGGCCGAUUAACGAAACAAGUUACCCUAGGGAUAACAGCGCUAUCCCCUUUUAAAGUCCAUAUAGACAAGGGGGCUUACGACCUCGAUGUUGGAUCAGGACAUCCUAAUGGUGCAG